rnacentral:piRNA from 1 species
UUUCAUCCUAAAACAAGUACCAGAAAACC